rnacentral:antisense_RNA from 1 species
ACUGACAUUAGCGAUUCGUUCUGCGAACCGUUGCCGACCGCGAGAUAGGAGUUCAUUCCCAGCUCGCGCAUCUGCUGCUCGCCGAUCACGCGGGUAAUAACAUUCUUGCUGUAGGUGUCAGCCAACUGGCGCGCCUGGGAAGCCAGAUAGGCGGCGUUACAGAUAUUCGGCGGCAUGUUGCCGAGAUCUUUCGC